ACGGGAGGCAGCAGUGGGGAAUAUUGCACAAUGGGGGAAACCCUGAUGCAGCAACGCCGCGUGAGUGAAGAAGUAUUUCGGUAUGUAAAGCUCUAUCAGCAGGGAAGAAAAUGACGGUACCUGACUAAGAAGCCCCGGCUAACUAUGUGCCAGCAGCCGCGGUAAUACAUAGGGGGCAAGCGUUAUCCGGAUUUACUGGGUGUAAAGGGUGCGUAGGCGGCAUGGCAAGUCAGUCGUUAAAUACCGAUGCUUAACAUCGGAUCGGCGGUUGAAGCUGUCAAGCUAGAGUAUAGGAGAGGUAGACGGAAUUACUAGUGUAGAGGUGGAAUUCGUAGAUAUUAGUAAGAACACCGGUGGCGAAGGCGGUCUACUGGCCUAAAACAGACGCUGAGGCACGAAAGUGUGGGGAGCAAACAGGAUUAGAUACCCUGGUA
rnacentral:rRNA from 1 species